CUAUACAUGCAAGUCGAGCGGACAGAUGGGAGCUUGCUCCCUGAUGUUAGCGGCGGACGGGUGAGUAACACGUGGGUAACCUGCCUGUAAGACUGGGAUAACUCCGGGAAACCGGGGCUAAUACCGGAUGGUUGUUUGAACCGCAUGGUUCAGACAUAAAAGGUGGCUUCGGCUACCACUUACAGAUGGACCCGCGGCGCAUUAGCUAGUUGGUGAGGUAACGGCUCACCAAGGCAACGAUGCGUAGCCGACCUGAGAGGGUGAUCGGCCACACUGGGACUGAGACACGGCCCAGACUCCUACGGGAGGCAGCAGUAGGGAAUCUUCCGCAAUGGACGAAAGUCUGACGGAGCAACGCCGCGUGAGUGAUGAAGGUUUUCGGAUCGUAAAGCUCUGUUGUUAGGGAAGAACAAGUGCCGUUCAAAUAGGGCGGCACCUUGACGGUACCUAACCAGAAAGCCACGGCUAACUACGUGCCAGCAGCCGCGGUAAUACGUAGGUGGCAAGCGUUGUCCGGAAUUAUUGGGCGUAAAGGGCUCGCAGGCGGUUUCUUAAGUCUGAUGUGAAAGCCCCCGGCUCAACCGGGGAGGGUCAUUGGAAACUGGGGAACUUGAGUGCAGAAGAGGAGAGUGGAAUUCCACGUGUAGCGGUGAAAUGCGUAGAGAUGUGGAGGAACACCAGUGGCGAAGGCGACUCUCUGGUCUGUAACUGACGCUGAG
rnacentral:rRNA from 1 species